GCCUCAGUGGGUGUAGUAGUAGAGCACGCGUCCCCGGAUAGGAUGAAACGUGGGUUUCAAUUCCCGCCUGAGGCC